AACGCACAUUGCGGCCAUAGGUAUUCCUUUGGCCAUGCCUGUUCGAGCGUCAUUUACACCCUCAAGCCUAGCUUGGUGUUGGGCGUCUGUCCCGCCGUUUUCGCGCGCGGACUCGCCUCAAAGUCAUUGGCGGCGGUCGUGCCGGCCCCUCGCGCAGCACAUUUGCGCUUCUCGGAGGCCCGGCGGACCCGCGCUCCAGCAAGACCUUUCACGACUUGACCUCGGAUCAGGUAGGGAUACCCGCUGAACUUAA
rnacentral:misc_RNA from 1 species